rnacentral:ncRNA from 1 species
GUAUAUGUGUUGAAGAAGAAGAGUACAUGGAAAGUUAAUUUAGGCAUCUGAAAUAAAUAACAAGUAAAAGAUGCCGUAUAGAGAUCUAAGGAGGGUGAAAACUUAGAAUUUAACUCUGUGGAAGGAAGCUUUGGAGCAAUAAAUAGAAAGUCAAAUUUGAUGUAGUAUAUUUAUGGGGUAAUUCCCUUAAAAAUAAUUAAGUUGGGUUAAGGAAACUUAACCAAUUUAGGUGGUAACGCGGAAAAUAGCCUUUCGUCCUAAGA